CCUUGUGGGGGGAGCCGUCGAAGGUGGGACCAGCGAUUGGGACUAAGUCGUAACAAGGUAGCCCGUACCGGAAGGUGCGGCUGGAUCACCUCCUUUCUAAGGAGCAU
rnacentral:rRNA from 1 species